CAUGGAUUUCUGACCUCACUGCAGACUCCGAUAUCCAUGCUUCCUCUCUGGGUUCCUUUUUGCCUUUGCUAAAGCAGGUUGUUUCUCGCUCUCUCAGCCAGGGGCUGUGGGUGGUGAAUCCCUCAUGCUCUGUGGGUAUGUGCCAUCUUUACUUGGCCUCUUUCAGAGGAUUCCUUAUUUCCCCACCAGGGGCUGCAGGUGCCCAGCGCCAGGUCCUUGGGCACAAAGGUCCACCCACCACCAGACCCGCUCCCCUCCGGAGGCGGCCAAUGUUAUCGUUCUACUGUACAAACAGACACACACAUUAUUCCUUUGUCUCCUUUUUUCUUUUUUUAAUGAAUCCAGUAGCAAACUCUCCACAUGGCCUCUUGCUUUUUCACUUAAUGAGAAUCUGGGUGCUCACUCCCAGGAGACACAGAGUGCCCCUCAGGCCUUUUGAGGAGUGCAUACAAUGCCACCAACCUCAUUGAUUAAACAUCUACUUAUCUAUCUGACUGAUGAAAAGCUAGACUUCUCCCAACCCCUCGCUAUUCUGAACGACGCACUUCUGAACACCCUUGUUUAUGCUGAUCCCUGCACACGUAACCUUAUCUAUAGGUUUGGGUCGGGGGUGUGCACCUGUACUCUGGAAGGACAGCGUCAAGCUGCCUUUCACAAGACUGUGCGAGCUGUACUUCAAACAGCCAUGUCUGAGCCUAUGCCUGCCAUUCCCAAUAGUGCAUUAACAAGUUUUAGAUCUGUGAAAAUCGGACAUGUGAGAAACGAGAUCCCUAUAGGCUCUUCACUCGUACUUCUCUUGUUAUCAACAGAUCGAACAUCCUCUUUUUUUUAAUGCUGAAAGAGCCACACAUGUAUCUUGCUGUGAAAUGCCUAUUACUACCCUUUUUGUGCGUUUCUCUUUUCAGCAAUUAGUCAUUUUCUUCUUGGCCUAUGAGCUCUUUAUAUAUGAAGGAAAUGGGCCCUCUGUCAGUACUAAGAGCUGCAAUAGCCUUUCCAGUUUAUUAUUUAUCUUCUGAUUUUGCUCGUGGCACUUGUCUUUUGCCAUGCAGAAUUGCAGAUUCUAUAAGGGGAAAUCAUCACUCUUUCCUUUUGUGCCUCUGGUUGUGUAUGAACCUCUGUGGGGAAAUGUUCUCCCACGAUUCUUCUCAUAACACGAUGGUUUCAAUGGUUUAGAUUUAAAUUCCUGCUCCUCUGUGUAACCCACACCCGCUCGUUUACCCCAUUCACUCCUGAACGUCAGCUUGACUGUGUCUUCAAACCCAGACAGGUGGCGUCCAACAGAACUUGCGGGUGCAAUGGAAACGGUCCCCAUCUGUGCAUCUAACACACUGGCCACUGGCCUCAAGACCCCCAGGUGCUUAACGUAGGGUGAGCUGACUAGAGAACUGAGUUUUUACUUUUAAUUAAUUACUCUUUGAAUUUAAAUAGCUGUGAAUGGAUGGCUGCCUGGAAGAGGCCACCACCUUCACCUGCCCUCAAGCCGAGCUUGUCCUCUCUGCGACUUCUCAUCCCUGUGUUAAGUGGGUUUGCCUUCCUGAUCCUGCCGACCACUCAGGCCACACCAUCAGCUAAGAACUCUUUCCUCUGGAGCACUCUCAACACCUUCUUAAAUGGUCUCAAAUCUCAAGAGGAGAGAUCUUAAAGUAAAUCUCCUCAACACGCAUGCGUGCGUGCAUGACGGCAGCCAUCCCUGCGAAGUGAUGUAUGCUUUUCAGCUCCAAACUCCGCCUGGGCGCAGUGCGACGGCUCACUCAGGCUGUCACCCACUCCCUGUCCACCAGACAUGCCCACUCCCUGGACUGUAAGAUGUCGUGAGGCUGCUGCCUGUGUCUACCAGGCUAUUCUCUGGGACCUGCUUGUCCUUUGGGUUCCAGCUUCUUUCCACGAACUUCUCCUCAGUGACGACUCAAUCUGAGUAAGGUCUCUGUGACCCCCUUAUUCUAACUCAUCCUGUUUCCUUCUCAGCAGGUGCCAUGGGCCAGACUGUGCCCCCGGACCUACAGGCUGAGGCCUAAGCCCAGGUGGCUGUAUCUGGAGAUGGGCCUGGGAGGUGGCGAUGAAGGUUCCAUGAGGUCACAGGGUGGCCAUGACCUCACAGGGCUGGUGUCCCACAGGGAGAGGAGGAGACCAGAGCUCUCUGCAGGUGCACAUGAGGACGCAGGGAGAGGCAGUGCCCGUAAGCCAGAGAGAGUGGCCCCACCAGGAACCGAAUCCUCAGCGCCUGGAUCUCGGGCCUCCAGCCUCCAGAGAUGCAUGUCUGUUGUCGAAGCCGCCCAGUCCAUGCAGUUCCGUUCUGGCAGCCCGAGGUGACCAAGACAUUUGCCCUCCCACCAUAUGCUGGGCGCUGUGUGACUUUAUUCUUCCGUAUCCUGCAGUCACUACUCACGUUUCAUCGCGUCCCGAAGGAGACUGAGCUAAUGGUGGCAAGGAAGUUCCAUCCUCAGCCGCAGCCGUCACCCAGCAGCUUUCUGAAUGACCAGUGACUGGCUGGUGCUCCCAGCGCAGCUUCUGCUGCACGCAGUGAAUCAGACACCCACAGACCCGGUGACUCCACAACUCUGGUGCAACUGCUCAAAACCUGUCAGGACCUGAGUACCGCGGGAAGACAAGACAGCAUGGGGGACGAGACCGCAGGAAGCUCUAGAACCCCGUCUGGGCUCUGAUCUCAGCUCGUCCCGCUACACAGCCCUGCGAUCCGAGCCUCAGGCUCCUCCUGUGAUGUCAGAGCCCCGCCUUAGAGGGCUGUUUGGAGACUGGAGAUCACAUCCUGCUCUCAGCAGCCCUGCCCACGGCAACCACUCAGCGGGUCUUGGUAACGAUGGGGGCUGCAUCCAAGUGGAAGAGAAUUCUGGGAGAUUCUCAUGGCUACACUGCUGGAAGUGGGUUUAGACGGUCAUCCCCAACAUGUGCCUCACUGUCUACUUGGUUCAGCCCCUUCCUCAGACCCAGGGGGGACUCAGGUGCAGGUGCCUGAACUCACUUGCUGCCUCCUCUGUGCCAGCCACUGUGCCAGCACUGGGACAGUGUGAUGGUCAUGACGACACAGCCCUGUCUUCUAAAAGGAGAGAGCACGAGCACACAGGCGUUUCGCCUACGGCACAUGCAGGGCCACGAGGAAACAAUGGAGGCGACGUGACAGAAGCUGACAGGAGGGGAGCCCGCGCACACAGGGAAACUCACUCUCCUAAAGGUGUGGGAGCGUCACAGACCCUCAGAGAGUAAGCGCGAUUCUGACUGAAGCACUGGUGUGAGCUGCGCGCUCGCAGGCGGACACGAGUGGAGGAAAAGGGUGAAAGUACGGGUGGGGACACAAGCUCUCGCCUUCCAGGUGCCCUUCCACCCCAUCUGUAUCCACACUGCCCGUCGUUGACAGAGACGCACUGAUCUGCCUCACUUAAGGAGCUCAGUGUGCUCUGACGUGGACGCCCCACGCUUUAUCACUCUACGUCCAAUGACGGUCACAGCAGCUUCCAAGCCAACCUUGACAAAGCCAAUUCCGGGUCUCCAGCCCGGCGUCUCAAAAAGAACAAUAACCACAACCAGCCUCCAGAAGCCUCAGGAAUGCAGCACUGUUCACUCAACCAACUCCAGCUGUCAGGCAGUCAGAUUCCUAACUGUUAGCGCCUCCAGAAGGAAGCAGGCGUCAGCUACGUCCUCUGCCUCCUGGACAGCAAAAGAAACGUGGCUCAUGCUCCCAACCACACGGCCUGCAGCGGUCCAGAGACGGCCUGCAACCCUGUGAGUCCUGAGGCAGCACCCACUCACCAUCUGCUCUGCCCCAGGCCCGCGUCUGUGCACCAGCUUCUCCUCUGUCCCUUGUCGAUCCAGAUGCACAGCUCAGCCCCUCCUUCUUCUACAAAUCGUCCACUCACCCCAAGCACCUCAAGAGUUGAGUAAUUAAAAAAAUUUUUUUUGUAAAGACUUUAUUUUUUUAGAGCAGUUUUAGAUUCACUGCAAAAUUGAGGGGAAGGUACAGAGACUUCCCAUAUGCCCCCUCCAUUCUUGAACAGCCUCCUCCAUUAUCAGCAACCCCC
rnacentral:lncRNA from 1 species